CUUCAGUGAAGAAACGAUGACGAGUCAGAGUUGAGCUCAAGUCUGUCUGUGGUUCUGGUCUGGAAACUCAGAGCAGCGGGUUCUUUCGCUUGAAGACGUUGAGGCAUUUGUCUGAGAAGG